AGUCGAGCGGACCUUGAGGAGCUUGCUCCCUGGGUUCAGCGGCGGACGGGUGAGUAACACGUGGGCAACCUGCCCUGCAGAUCGGGAUAACUCCGGGAAACCGGUGCUAAUACCGAAUAGUUUGCGGCCUCUCCUGAGGCUGCACGGAAAGACGGUUUCGGCUGUCACUGCAGGAUGGGCCCGCGGCGCAUUAGCUAGUUGGUGGGGUAAUGGCCCACCAAGGCGACGAUGCGUAGCCGACCUGAGAGGGUGAUCGGCCACACUGGGACUGAGACACGGCCCAGACUCCUACGGGAGGCAGCAGUAGGGAAUCUUCCGCAAUGGACGCAAGUCUGACGGAACAAUGCCGCGUGAGUGACGAAGGUUUUCGGAUCGUAAAACUCUGUUGUGAGGGAAGAACAAGUACCAACUAACUACUGGUACCUUGACGGUACCUCACCAGAAAGCCACGGCUAACUACGUGCCAGCAGCCGCGGUAAUACGUAGGUGGCAAGCGUUGUCCGGAAUUAUUGGGCGUAAAGCGCGCGCAGGCGGUCCCUUAAGUCUGAUGUGAAAGCCCACGGCUCAACCGUGCAGGGUCAUUGGAAACUGGGGGGACUUGAGUGCACAAUAGGAAAGUGGAAUUCCAUGUGUAGCGGUGAAAUGCGUAGAGAUGUGGGAGGAACACCAGUGGCGAAUGCGACUUUCUGGUCUGUAACUGACGCUGAGGCGCGAAAGCGUGGGGAGCAAACAGGAUUCGAUACCGUGGUAGUUCCCCGCCCUACACGAUGAUUGCCACGUGUUAGGGGUAUCCGCCUCCUUAAUGCGGGCAGCUAACGCAUUAGCACUCCGCCUGGGGCAUACAGGCGCAGGGUGAAUCUCACAAGAAUAGACGGGGGGGCCGCCGCAGGCGUGUGAGCACGUUGAUUAAUACGAGACAUGCCGAGGAACAUUACAAG
rnacentral:rRNA from 1 species